AGACCGACGUCAUCAGAGCGCGCCGUGCCGGCUGGGCAAGAUGGCGGCGCCGGGGGGUAAUGGCGGCGCCGCUCGGUACUGCCUGGUGAGCGGCAUCCCGGCCGCGCUGCGCUCCGCACAGCUCCGCGCCUACUUCAGCCAGUUCAUAGAGGCCGGCGGCUUCCUCUGCUUCCACUACCGGCACCGCCCCGAGCGCCCGCCGGCGGGGAGCGGUGAGGAGGCCGCGGCGCCGCGCACUUGCUCCUGCCUGGUGGCCGUGCGGCCCGGCCGCGCCCGCCGCUUCGUCCGCAUGUACUCGGGCAAGCGGUGGGUCGGGCCCGGCGGUGCCUCGCUGCCCGGCCGCUGCCUCAUCCGCAGGGUCCGCUUCAGCCCCGGUACAGGCGCAGAGACGUCUCCCUGCUGCGGGCACGAACCGGCUGCAGGUGACUCUAUUGCUGAAGCAGACUUGAAGCGGCUGCCUGAGUUCAACCCUCCUUCCUUCAUGCCUUAUGGGAACGUGGGCACCCCCCUGAAGGUUUUCCUGGAGCUGAUCCGGGCCUGCAGGCUGCCUCCCUGGAUUAUCAAGAAGUUGCAGCUGAAUUUCCCAAAGACUGGCUCAUGCCAUCGGUAUGGGAAUGUGCCUUUUGAAUACCGGAACACUGAGACAGUUAUAGAAGAAGAAAGAGUUUACACUGCUACAGGGGAUGAGAUCACAGAGGAUGAGGGGCCUGUGGCAACAUCUGAGGUGAUUCACCCAGCCCGUGCUGAGGAAGACGAGGAGGGGCAGGAGAAGGAGGAAGAGGAAUCGCACUCGGAUGAUGACAAUGAUACCUGUGAGGAAUGGGAGCGCCACGAGGCUCUGUACGAGGACGUGACCAAGCAGGACCGUGUGGAGGAGAGGCUCUUUGAAGAGGAGAUUGAGCUGAAGUGGGAGAAGGGCGGCUCUGGCCUUGUCUUCUACACAGAUGCUCAGUACUGGCAGGAGCAGGAUGGAGACUUCGAUGAGCAGACUGCAGAUGACUGGGAUGUGGACAUGAGCAUCUACUAUGACAAAGAUGGAGGUGAUAAGGAUGCUCGGGACUCGGUCCAGAUGCGUCUGGAGCAGCGACUCCGGGACGGUUUGGAGGAUGGGUCUGUUUCAAGGCAGCAGAUUGGUGCCUUUGAGAGAUACACCAAGGGCUUUGGCAGGAAGGUGCUGGAGCAGCAGGGCUGGACGGAGGGGCUGGGGCUGGGGAGCAGCAACUCCGGAAUGGCUGAAGCUCUGGACAAUGAGGGUCAGAACCCCAGAUGUAAGAGGGGGCUGGGGUACCACGGGGAGAAACUGUCAACUUUCAUCAGGGUGAAAAAGCCCCGGCAGGAGUCUCCCAUCCUCAUCUCAACCAUCUACGAUGACCCUGACCCAAAGGACAGUGGUGACCAACUGCUCAGGCGCCAGCCACCCACUGCCAUGAAGUACAGGCAGCACAUGGCAUUUGUCCGGGCAUCCCAUGGCGCUCUGCAGAGCUUCAGUGCCCAGUCCCACUGAGCAGAGACUGUCACAGAGCUUUUGGGAUGGUUCCACUCCUGCUGAGCACAGGCUGGCUCCUGGUCUCAGGUUUGGAGCAGGGUUCCCGGCGCUGGCGGAGCUACGCGUCCCUCCGGCCGCUAGAGGGUGCUGUGUUGGCAGCCGCCGUUCCUACCCCGGAACGCAGCGCUCGGGGCCCGCGGACACCCGGACCCAGUGCCCGGAGCACCGGCGGCG